rnacentral:rRNA from 1 species
CGCACGGGUGCGUAACGCGUGGGAAUCUGCCCCUCGGUUCGGAAUAACAGCGAGAAAUUGCUGCUAAUACCGGAUAAUGACGUAAGUCCAAAGAUUUAUCGCCGAGGGAUGAGCCCGCGUAGGAUUAGCUAGUUGGUGUGGUAAAGGCGCACCAAGGCGACGAUCCUUAGCUGGUCUGAGAGGAUGAUCAGCCACACUGGGACUGAGACACGGCCCAG